rnacentral:rRNA from 1 species
AUUGAACGCUGGCGGCAUGCUUUACACAUGCAAGUCGAACGGCAGCGCGGGCUUCGGCCUGGCGGCGAGUGGCGAACGGGUGAGUAAUGCAUCGGAACGUGCCCAGUAGUGGGGGAUAGCCCGGCGAAAGCCGGAGUAAUACCGCAUACGACCUGAGGGUGAAAGCGGGGGACCGAAAGGCCUCGCGCGAUUUGAGCGGCCGAUGUCGGAUUAGCUAGUUGGUGGGGUAAAGGCUUACCAAGGCGACGAUCCGUAGCUGGUCUGAGAGGACGACCAGCCACACUGGGACUGAGACGCGGCCCAGACUCCUACGGGAGGCAGCAGUGGGGAAUUUUGGACAAUGGGGGCAACCCUGAUCCAGCCAUGCCGCGUGCGGGAAGAAGGCCUUCGGGUUGUAAACCGCUUUUGUUCGGGAAGAAAUCCUCUGGGCUAAUACCCCGGGGGGAUGACGGUACCGGAAGAAUAAGCACCGGCUAACUACGUG